ACACGACUACAUUAGAUACCCGCGUAGUCCUAGCCGUAAACGAUACUCGCUAGGUGUCGGCCACGGUGCGACCGUUGUCGGUGCCGUAGGGAAGCCGUGAAGCGAGCCACCUGGGAAGUACGGCCGCAAGGCUGAAACUUAAGGAAUUGGCGGGGAGCACAACAACGGGUGGAGCUUGCGGUUUAAUUGGAUUCAACGCCGGAAAUCUUACCGGGACCGACAGCAACAUGAAGGCCAAGCUGAAGACUUUGCCGGAUUAGCUG
rnacentral:rRNA from 1 species